CAGUCGCCGCGGGAAUACGAAGGGGGCUAGCGUUGUUCGGAAUUACUGGGCGUAAAGCGCGUGUAGGCGGGUCCUUAAGUCAGGGGUGAAAUGCCAAGGCUCAACCUUGGAACUGCAUUUGAUACUGGGGAUCUUGAGUCCGGGAGAGGUGAGUGGAACUGCGAGUGUAGAGGUGAAAUUCGUAGAUAUUCGCAAGAACACCAGUGGCGAAGGCGGCUCACUGGCCCGGAACUGACGCUGAGGCGCGAAAGCGUGGGGAGCAAACAGGAUUAGAUACCCGGGUAGUCCCUGUCUCUUAUAC
rnacentral:rRNA from 1 species